AAAAAAAGGGAACAUGAUGGUCUUCUUCUUCCUCCCUUCUUUCUUUGUCUUUCUCUCUUCCAUUGUUAGUGACUGGUGAUGUCGGCUCCGAUGACAGUGGCUCUCUCUUUUUCUUAUUCCUCAUCUUCGCUUUGUUUGUUUCAUAAUCGGAUCUUCUAGGGCUUUGAUUAAACCUGAAUCGAGACAUCCCCACAUAUCCCAGAUGGAGUCAACUCCUGUUAGAAGAUCGAUCACAGUCAUCUUCUUCCCGAUCUACAACCGAAUUUUCCAGGUCAAAAUUAUGUCAAAGAAAAAUAUCUUAAGUCGAAGAAGGCAAGUUACGAAUCUUGGGUACACGAAUUUGCUCAGCUCGCCAUUAAAACUGAUGUCCCGGCGGUGGUUAGAGAAUUUAGUCGGGCUCUGUCUAAUAUGUGUCCGGUUAUAUCUAUCUUUUUUUUUAAGAUGAUAAUUUUUUUCCCCAUUUAAUUCCCUCAUAUGUUCUGGGAAUUGGAGAAUUCAUGUACAGUUUGUUUGAUUUUCUUUUUUCAUUUGAGUAUGAAACUUUGAAAUGUCGAAUACUUUAGAUUUUUGAUAGGAUUUGAAUCUGCAGCUCAUUUAAAAAAAAAAAUCUGGAAUGGAAUAAGUAGGGGAAGAGGGAAGAAGACGGGGAAGGGGAUGAACCAUUGUCAUUUCAAUUUUUAUUUUUAUUUUUAUUUUUAUUUUGUUAGUUUUUGAUUAUAAAACUCUCUAAAUCAAACGAAACUGAUUUCAUACCAGUUUAAGUGGUUUUUUAUUGGUUUAGUUCAUAAACCGAUUAAAUUCAAAUUUGUGGAGAAAUUGGAAUAAAACUAUGGAUUCAGGGUGAAAUAAGAUUACAACUAUUGAUUCGGGAAGACAUAGAAAGAGGUUGGAAUUCUGGGUAGAUCCAAUAUGAUGUCAUAGUUCUCAGGGGGAAAUAGGAUGUCUAUCCGUUUCUUUUUUACAGGAGAAGUUCUGUUACAGAUAGUGUGUUGAGAGAUUCUUGAAGGUAAAAGGAGAUAAUGUGAAAAAAGCUGCGAAACAACUAACCUCAUGUCUUUCAUGGAGACUAAACUUCGAUCUUGAGCGAUUGGGAGCAGAGGAGUUAUUGUGAUUUUUUUUGCAUAAUCCAUCUUGAUUUCAUCUAAUAAAUAAUAUUUAAUGGUAACAAAAAUAUGAGGUUGAUUUUUGCAGGUUUUCCGGUUUAAGCAUGAUUAUCAGAAUCUGCGUACCCAAUAAGAAUAAGUUUAUAUGAUUAAUCAAAAACUGUUCCAGUUUUAUUGAUUUUGAUACUCUUCACAACGUAAUUUUUAAAAAACUUUUUUUGUUGGGGAAGCUUUACGCGUUUGGUGGCGUUUACGAUGGAUACUGCGAUCUCAAGCAUGACCAGAAACGUGGAACAGAGUGUUGUUCUUCUCUUCGAUGCAAGUACAAGUAUGCUAACUCUAUGCUAUUACCGUAUUUUGGGUUUAUAGUUUUUAGUUUUUUUUGGAAUGAGUUCAUUCGUUUGUGUCGGGGACGGGACACUCGGACAUGUAUGUAGUAUAGUUAUGCAUUAAUUUGAUGUUCGGACUUGUCUUCCAAUUCAUGUGUCAACGUCAAUGCUUUUGUAAUUA